rnacentral:rRNA from 1 species
UAGUGGCGAACGGGUGAGUAACACGUGGGCAAUCUGCCCUGCACUCUGGGACAAGCCCUGGAAACGGGGUCUAAUACCGGAUAUGAGCUGGAACCGCAUGGUUCUGGUUGUAAAGCUCCGGCGGUGCAGGAUGAGCCCGCGGCCUAUCAGCUUGUUGGUGAGGUAAUGGCUCACCAAGGCGACGACGGGUAGCCGGCCUGAGAGGGCGACCGGCCACACUGGGACUGAGACACGGCCCAGACUCCUACGGGAGGCAGCAGUGGGGAAUAUUGCACAAUGGGCGAAAGCCUGAUGCAGCGACGCCGCGUGAGGGAUGACGGCCUUCGGGUUGUAAACCUCUUUCAGCAGGGAAGAAGCGAAAGUGACGGUACCUGCAGAAGAAGCGCCGGCUAACUACGUGCCAGCAGCCGCGGUAAUACGUAGGGCGCAAGCGUUGUCCGGAAUUAUUGGGCGUAAAGAGCUCGUAGGCGGCUUGUCACGUCGAUUGUGAAAGCCCGGGGCUUAACCCCGGGUCUGCAGUCNAUACGGGCUAGCUAGAGUGUGGUAGGGGNAGAUCGGAAUUCCU